ACACACACACACACACACACACACACACACACACACACACACACACACACAGAGGCAGGCAGGCGUAGCAUGGGGGGACCAGGGCCCAAGGGUGGGGAGGGGGCCCUAGGAGACCCUGGAGCUGCUAGCUAGCAGCUACCUAGCUGAGAUCGACACAGCUGCUAUUGCUAGCUAGCUGGCUAACUGUAACUUUUUUUUACUACCUGAAUACAGUAGGAGUUACCUAGCUAGUUACUAUGAGAACACAGACAGUAUAAAAGAAAUAAUCAACAUCAUAGCUGCAGGGGGCCCACAGAGACUGCCGAGAAUUUGGUGCUACACACACACACACACACACACACACACACACACACACACACACACACACACACACACACACACACACACACACACACACACACACACACACAGUAGCUGUAUCUCAGCGAAGACACCCAUUGGCACGAUGCUUUGCUGAGCCCCUUACCCUGACCUUAACCAUCAUAACUAACCUCAACCCCUUACUGUUACCUUAAUUCUAAACAUCAUUUUUUUCUCACGUUCUUCCUCUCCAGCCAGAUUGUUUAUUACAUCAUUCAUUUUCCUGGUUGUAUUUUGGAGGUGGCCUUUGAGCCGGGCGCGGACGACCUCUGGAAGACGACCUUUCCAGGAUCCAAGUGACUAACCUCUUGAGGGCGGAGGGCCCCUCCCCUUCUACAAAUGAGAAAAGAAAGAGGUGCACAUAACAAAAUCUGCAUUUGUAUAAGUUUGGCAUGUGUGGAAUCUUCGUGCCACGUCAAUAAAUCACCAAGUAAACUGAACUGAGGGCAACGGAUCAAUUCUGACAAAGACACUAAACACACAAUGAGAUAGGGAGAGAAGACAGAAUGUGGGUUGGGUUUUUGUGGAAAAAUACACUUAAUAUUAUGUGGGUAUUCUGAAAAAGAGCAGACAUUUUAUGAGGAUGGAUAAUAUUUAAUUUAUUAGGGCAAUACGUCUUUUUUAAGAUCCCCUCCAAACACCUGUUAAUUCAUAUGGAAAAACUUGAGUAAGUCAACAAAACAAUCACACACAUUGAACGGGUGGACGUCUCACAGUGAAUCAUUUCUGUAUGUUCUGAUUGUAAAAAUAAAUACACAACCGUGUUCUUUUGUAUUGGUGAAUAUUUGGUUUCCCUUUUCUUCUGAGGACCACGAUUAUUAUCAAGUUCGCGGACACGGAUUAUGUUGUUUUUACCAGCUGCUGAACACCUAUUGAGGAAAAACAUGAUAACUACACUGUUUCCUUAGAGUCAAACUAAUUUAAGAUUUUUUGCUUUAUCCGCAUUCAAAAUGCAAUCAAAAAGAUGAAAACAAUAUAAUAAUUUUGUAUCGCUACUUGUCUGCCCCCAGAAUAACAAAAGUACAAAUAGACAAUACUUCACCUGCUACCAUAUCACUCUGACGUAUAUAUAUGAACCCAUCAACCCACAGGGAAUCACACUCUUUUUCAUAAACACACUGCAACUGACUUCACCCCCCAGCCUGCAUGAAUAAAACAUGCAUGUUGUAGCUACUGCAAAUAGUUUUUUUUUUUGUUUUUUUUAAAGCUUAGUGGAAUGCUGAGUUUGCUUAGUAAUAACUGCCUCUGAUGCAAAAAAAAAAAUGGAUGUCAAAUAACUUUCUUCAACAGAAAAGAGAUUCUUGUUAUUGGGUCCCAGGAGAUGGUGAAACAAAUUCUGCCAUCUGCUGGCUCCCUGUUGGAACAUGUUGGGCCUGUUGCAAGGAAUCUUUGCCUUUAGGUUUGAUAGCCAUCUAAGUUUUGAACCGCACACCACAAUGUUUGUACCAUCUUUUUUCCAUGAUAUAAAAUUUUCAAAAAUACAACCCUUCUUUACUUCUAAAGACAUAGAGGCAAUUUGACAUGGCUUCAUCUUGCCUGGAUUAGUGCAACAACCUUUUUACUUGCCUGAUUCAAAAAUCUGCUGACCGACUACAGACUGUUCAGCCUGAAAACCACAGGGGAGAGGACGUUUGCAGUCAGGGCCUGAGGUCCAUUUUAAAACUGAUGAUUUUAGGUUUUAUAACAUUAGUUUUAAAUGACUAAUCAGUUUUAUUGUGCUGCUAUUGUAAAGCAUUUUGCUGGAUUUUGAAAAGUGUUCUAUAAAUAAAGUGAAUUGUUACUAUAAUUACUAUUGACACAUUUAUUUAUUUACUUUAUUGUCACUUUGGUCAUCAUGUUACAAUCACUAUACUAGUGAAACCCAGGUGGUAGAGUUUAUAGUGCCAUCUGGAAGAAAGAAGAGGGAGAAUCCACAUAGCCACCAAUCCCCUUCUUGAUAUUGGAUGUUACAAAAGAAUACCAUGACAUUAAUACACUGAUAAAUGUUCCUGCAUUGCCACAGUUAGUGUGCAUAUUGUUUUCACACAUGGUCCACUUUCUUUUGAAUGUGAUCAGUGUUCUUGCCUCUGUUGCUUAGUCAUGUCUAUGCAGAAGUAGCAUCAACAACUUAAAAGUAAGUUGUUGUAACUCACAAGUACAUUGUCCACUCUUCCCCAAAUCUUAAUGUUUGAUAAGAGUCUUGGCCUGAAGACAUCUACAUGCCAACACUGUUAUAAUCAUGCUA